UACAGAGGUCCCAAGCGUUGUUCGGAUUCAUUGGGCGUAAAGGGUGCGUAGGCGGCGCGGUAAGUCGGGUGUGAAAUCUCGGAGCUUAACUCCGAAACUGCAUUCGAUACUGCCGUGCUUGAGGACUGGAGAGGAGACUGGAAUUUACGGUGUAGCGGUGAAAUGCGUAGAUAUCAGGAGGAACACCGGUGGCGAAGGCGGCAUUCUGGACCGAUAUUGACGCUGAGGAGCGAAAGCCAGGGGAGCAAACGGG
rnacentral:rRNA from 1 species